AUUGAACGCUGGCGGCAGGCCUAACACAUGCAAGUCGAGCGAGUGGCGGACGGGUGAGUAAUGUCUGGGAACCUGCCCGAUAGAGGGGGAUAACUACUGGAAACGGUAGCUAAUACCGCAUACUAUCGGAUGUACCCAUAUGGGAUUAGCUAGUGGGUGGGGUAAAGGCUCACCUAGGCGACGAUCUCUAGCUGGUCUGAGAGGAUGAUCAGCCACACUGGGACUGAGACACGGCCCAGACUCCUACGGGAGGCAGCAGUGGGGAAUAUUGCACAAUGGGCGCAAGCCUGAUGCAGCCAUGCCGCGUGUAUGAAGAAGGCCUUCGGGUUGUAAAGUACUUUCAGCGGGGAGGCGUUACCCGCAGAAGAAGCACCGGCUAACUCCGUGCCAGCAGCCGCGGUAAUUC
rnacentral:rRNA from 1 species